rnacentral:rRNA from 1 species
CCUACGGGAGGCUGCAGUGGGGAAUAUUGGACAAUGGGCGAAAACCUGAUCCAGCCAUGCCGCGUGUGUGAAGAAGGCCUUCGGGUUGUAAAGCACUUUCAGUGGGGAAGAAAGCCUUGGGGCUAAUACCCUCGAGGAAGGACAUCACCCACAGAAGAAGCACCGGCUAACUCCGUGCCAGCAGCCGCGGUAAUACGGAGGGUGCGAGCGUUAAUCGGAAUUACUGGGCGUAAAGCGCGCGUAGGCGGUCUGAUAAGCCGGUUGUGAAAGCCCCGGGCUCAACCUGGGAACGGCAUCCGGAACUGUCAGGCUAGAGUGCAGGAGAGGAAGGUAGAAUUCCCGGUGUAGCGGUGAAAUGCGUAGAGAUCGGGAGGAAUACCAGUGGCGAAGGCGGCCUUCUGGACUGACACUGACGCUGAGGUGCGAAAGCGUGGGUAGCAAACAGGAUUAGAUACCCGAGUAGUC